rnacentral:miRNA from 1 species
UGUUCGGGCAUGUAUUCGUC